rnacentral:snRNA from 1 species
AGAUGGGAGGUCAGUAUGGCUAAAACAUUUUGCCCUCAUGCUCACCAGAGUUGAUCUGGCUGAUGCAGGUGGAAAAGAGGAUGUCCCUUCCCUCUUUCAUUGCUCCUUAACUGUCCCUGCCAUUUCCUCUGUCAAAUAGGAUGAUCCCAGCUAAACAAGACCACUCUAGUCAAGAGUGUGUCAGUAGCUUUCACCCCUGUUGAGCCCUCAAACAAGUUCUCAAGACCUGACACAUAGUAAGCUCUCAAUGA